CUCAUCAUCAUCAUCUUCCAUCAUCAUCCUUGUUUAUCCAAUUUUCCUCCUUCGCUUUAACUGAUCAUAUGUUAACGAACCAAAGAUCAUCUCACUCAUUUGAUUCUCUCUCUUGAUUAUUUAUAUUCUUAUAAUUGAUUAAUUAAUUUUUCUCCUGUGAUUGUACGCGAAUGUCCACCUUAGAGUAUCAACAAUUUAUCUCCAACAAUUAAUCAACAACAACAACAAUUAAACAUUAAUUUAGUUCCCAAAACAAAACUAUUAUGUUGAGAAUCACAUGUAACCAAACAAACGGUUUUCCUGUUCAACUGUUUCCUUUUCCAGUGUUAACAUUGAUUCUUUCGGUCAAUUGUUUGGAGUUACGGUUCCAUGGAGAAUUGAUUGAUUUCUAUGGUUUGUCUAUAGUUUCUUUGUUUUUCUACCUCAAGUUUUAUCGUUUGGGAACAAGAUGGAUACCAUUUAUAGCCAAUGGAUGAUAACAACAUGUACAUAAUUUUCAUUCCAAUCAACUCUUGUCUUUUUCUGGCCUACUCAUUUUUCCUACACUUCGUCAUCUUUAUUUCUGUUUUCAUCUUUUCUUCCUCCGCAUCUUUUGGGAUCGAAAUUUUCUUUUUCUUCUAAAUUUAUCUUCUCUCUCUUGACAUCUCUCUCUCUCUACUCUCAUCUUUGUCUUUCCCUUGACACACACACACACACUUGGUUAUUAUAAACGUAGGAGAGAGAGAGAGAGGGAGAGGGAGAGAGAUGGUAAAGUCAGGAUAUUUUAGAUGAUGAUAAGAAAGAGAAAAGGAAAGAAGAUGAAAUGGAAAAAGAAAUAUGUGCAUCUCUCUUACAUCCUCAUCAUCAUCUUCUUAUGGAUCAUCAUCCUCGGGAUAAAGGGUCGCUUUGAAAUUUUAUCUUUUCCAUAGUUUUAUGUCGUUUCCAACAUCUUCACAAUCAAUAUCAUCAUCAUUGUAAAUUGUUCAUCUAUCCACUUACCUGUAGUAUCAAUAAUUUUGUUUUGUUGUUUCUUAAUCUGUACAAUAUAACCAAAGAUGAUUCUCUCUCUCUCUCUCUCUCUCUCUCAUCAUCAUCAUCAAUCCUCCACUUGAGUGGAAGAUACGAACAAAAAAUUGAUGAGAAUGAUGAUCUAAUGAUGAUAAAUAUGAUGAGAGAAAUUGAGACAAGACAAAGAUACACCAACUGGUUGAUUCUUUCAAUUGAUUAUGUUUGUGGUUUAUUGGUGAUUAUAUUUAAGGACAUGAUGAUGAUGAAGAGUUUACAGAAGAGAAACAAUAUUAAUGUAACACAUUGAUUAACACACUUGGAGAAUUAAACAAUUAGCUAAUUGCUUUUUUCUUCUCACAACUGUUAUCGCCAUGUUGACUACAUUCAAAGAGAGAAACAAAACAUCAUCAAACUCUUACUCAUAUUCUCUUUCUUUUUCUCUUUCUCCCUCAUUUUCUCAACAUUUUCCCUCUUUCUCUUCAUCGUCUCUUCUUGCCCUUUAUCUUCCUCUUUUUUUCAAAUUCAUUUUCAUUUCUUUCUCUCUCCCUUAUCCUCCAUGUUUUUCUGUUACAAUGUGUACUUUUUGUUUUUUUCUUUGUGUUCUUUUUAUUUCUAAUAAUCAGUUGAUCAAAUUAGAUUCUUACCUUAUAUUUAUUUAUUGGUUUUCUCUCUCUCUCUCUCUUCCAGUUAACUUUCUUCAUAAUUAUCUUCAUUUAUCAUCUUUAAUUUGUCUUCCUGGUUCUUUACCGUUUUGAUGAUAAAAUGGUAACAACGUGUUGAUGUCCUUCUAAUCCCCUUCUUUACCCAAUAAUCUACAUCAUCUUCAUUUGUAACCUUGUUUUUCUUAAUCGUCUUGAUCUUCCUCAUUAACAUGAUGUUCAUCUUGUUCAACAACGUGAACCAUUAUCAUAAUUUACUGGAAACAAGAGGAACAAAGUUCGAGUUGCAACGAAUCGCUGGUUCAGCAGAAAGAAAACCUUACACUUGAAAAUAUAAGAAUAAGAAGAAAAUAGAGAGAGAGAGAGAGGAUAAGGAGUUUGACGAAAGAAGAUGAAUUGGUGAUAGAGAAAAGGUAUCAUCAUCAGAGAGAGCUUUUCCUUUUUUCGAUUUUUUUUAAGUUCGCUUUUCGUUCCACUUAUAAACAGACAAAACGUUUACCUACAUCGUUCCUAUCUUCAUAUUCUGAUCAUCUUGUCUUCGUCAUCAUAACCUUCAACAUCAUCCUCAUCAUCAUCAUCAAUAUACUCUUAUAUUCCCAUCAAAUCUUCAAUCAUUAACAUUCAAAAACGCUUCUAGUUUAUUAGUUUUUCCUUUUGUUAAUCAAUUUUCUUUUUUAGUUUUCUAAUCUUUACUGUUACUUUUUCUCUGUUCACUUUUAGUUUUAAAUGUUUUUUAUUCUACGAUAUCAACUACACAUUCGCCUAUGUGACCUACUUAUCCGAGAGAAUUUGCAAAUUGUCUCUCAUCGUGGUGCAGAAAAAAAAGAGAGACAUCUUACCAGACAGCGUUGGAAUGUCCAUUCGAAAUAAUCUAAUACUGUCAGGUAAAGAUGUCUUAAAAAUACUGCGAAAAUCAACCUCCAACUGACCACAUCGAUAAUGGACAAAGAUGAAUCUUCUCAUUUCUUAAGG